rnacentral:misc_RNA from 1 species
UCGAACCCUGCAAGGCAGAACGACCUGUGAACAUGUAACCACAACUGGGCGAUAGGGAAAUGGGCCUUGGCCCUGACCCCCAACCCCUUCUGACGUGUAUUUGUGGUGCCUUCUUUUGGGCAUCAUGGAUCCCGUCAGGCCUAAACAAACCCCGGCACGGUAUGUGCCAAGGAAAACAAAAAAUGAGAAGGACACGUACUGUAUUGCCCCGUUAGCGGUGUGCGUGCGGUUCGUGGCCUCCUUGGAAUCACAAACGACUCUCGGCAACGGAUAUCUCGGCUCACGCAUCGAUGAAGAACGUAGCAAAAUGCGAUACUUGGUGUGAAUUGCAGAAUCCCGUGAACCAUCGAGUUUUUGAACGCAAGUUGCGCCCGAAGCCAUCCGGUUGAGGGCACGCCUGCCUGGGCGUCACGCAUCGCGUCGCUCUCCACCAUGCUUCCCUAACGGGUUGUGAUGGUGUUGGGGCGGAUAGUGGCCUCCCGUUCUUAUGUUUCGGUUGGCCUAAAUAGGAGUUCCCUUCAGCGGACACACGACUAGUGGUGGUUGAACAGACCUUCGGCUUGGGUUGUGUGUUGUGAGCUGUGAGGGAAGCCCUCAUUAAUGACCCCUUUGUAUCGUCUUCGGACGGUGCUUCGAC